UACGUAGGUGGCAAGCGUUGUCCGGAAUUAUUGGGCGUAAAGCGCGCGCAGGCGGUCCUUUAAGUCUGAUGUGAAAGCCCACGGCUCAACCGUGGAGGGUCAUUGGAAACUGGGGGCCUUGAGUGCAGGAGAGAAGAGCGGAAUUCCACGUGUAGCGGUGAAAUGCGUAGAGAUGUGGAGGAACACCAGUGGCGAAGGCGACUCUUUGGCCUGUAACUGACGCUGAGGCGCGAAAGCGUGGGGAGCAAACAGG
rnacentral:rRNA from 1 species